rnacentral:rRNA from 1 species
AUCUGGGCGGCGGAAUUCAGGAUGGCUGGUGGGCCUUGUGCACAUCCGGCCGUUUGAUAUUUCCGUCGCCGUUGCAGACGUCGCGACCUGUUUGUUGUCGGCCCCUGCUCGGAGGAGUCGCGAUCGAGUUUGUUGUGUGCGCGUUUCGGCGUGUCACACGGCGAAGACGCGAAUCUCUGGCCGACGACGGACAGUAAGCAACGGUGUCCGGUAACGUGUCUCGCACUCGGUACCGGUGCCGGUCAGCGAUGAUUUCUUCGGGCCUCUUUCCGACCCGUCUUGAAACACGGACCAAGGAGUCUAACAUGCGCGCGAGUCGCGGGGUUUCGAGCGUACCACGGUACGUUCGUUAUCUCCGAAACCCGUACGUUGAAGGCGUAAUGAAAGUGAACAGGGAAGACGGUGUUCCGAGUCCACGUACCGUGAUCGAGUAUCGCGGCCGGACACCCGCACUCCCGGGGCGUCUUAAUGGCUCGUCGCGGAUGCGGACUGUCGCCUCUCGGGGUGGCUGUCGGUCUGCGUCGGACCGA